UUCUUCUAUAUGGAACCCAAAGCCCUCUCUCUCACUGCUUUCUCUGCAUUUCUCUUUCUUCCUCUGUAAAUGUAAUUCUUUUGGACUAAUUUCCCCCUGUUGGCAGUGGAAAUUUACCAGCUUUUUCGUUGUUUGCGAAGAUGGUUUUUCUGGGGUUUUGAGGCUGUGCAUGCAAGAAACUUCAUGAGCUGAGGUGAAAAGUAGGGUCUUGAUAUCAUGUUCAUUACGAUCUAGGAGGAAGUAGAAACAAUGAUUAUAACGAAGCAGUAUCGUUGCAUACACUCAGCAAGCUGUCAAUGCACAAAAGGACAUCUCAGUGAAGAUGUGAUUUUCCUAGUAUUUCAACAAAUGAACUGGAACCCCAAGCUUAUUGCCACUCUUUCCUGUGUAUGCAAAUGGUUUGAUGAUCUUGCCAAGCGAGUAUUAUGGAAGGAGUUUUGCCGAACAAGGGCUCGAAAGAUGAUGCGUGAUCUGCAAUCAAGUGGGAGUCACAGUGUUGAUGGAAAUUGGAGGGCACUUGGGAAGCUUCUUAUAUAUUGUUCAGGAUGUAGCAAGGGUGGUUUGUUCAAUAGCAUUGAGAUCCCUGGCCAUUUUGUUUAUAGGACCCGGUUUUCUCGGACAUCAGGAAAGAGUUUUUUGUUGCCACAGUGCAGAACAGAUAUCUUGUAUGUGUCUGAUCCAUGUGAGCAUCUUGACCAAGGAGAGGAAGGGGAUGUAGGGUUUUUCCGUGGAGUUUUUAAGUCUUUCUCAAUGUCAAAGGUUAAGAAAAUGCUGAUUCAAAGGGGAGCCCAGCUUCAUCCAACAGAAGUAUGUCCUUAUUGCAAGGCAAAGUUGUGGAGCAUGCUGCAAGCCAAAAUGAUACCACAGAGUGCCACCUGCAGGUUGGGUGCAUAUGAGGAUUGCAUUGAGUAUUAUGUCUGCCUCAAUGGCCAUAUGCUUGGGAUUUGCACCCUCUUACCUUUGUCUGAUUCAGAAGAGGCAUCUGAGCGGGAGUAGUAGUUGGAAUAGAUCACAGGUAUUCACUUGCAGCAACAAUCUCAGCUAUAUCUUGUUAGUGAAGAUUUGGGAUGCUUGAAACAGUCACACUCAUCACUAUGCAAGUUUUAGAGGAUCUUUGUUACCUGUUUCAUAAAUUGCUAAGACAUUCAUGCCCUUUUUGGCUUAAGCAUCAUGUAGAAAGUGGAAAAUAUAACUGUGAGUUUGAUUAGUGCUGCAGGCAUGGAUCUUGUGUCUGCCAAUGGAUUUUUACAUGAAUUAUAGAAAGUGAGACGUCCGAUAAGAUGGGCCGGAAAUCUCAUUCUCUAAGAGCUUAAAUCACUGAUCAGUCGGGUCUUGACUCCUGGGUCCAGUGCUAUCGAGUCUUGCUUGCCCCAGUGAAAUUGUUUCCUUGUGAAAGGUUAGAAUCUAUUGCUAACCAUUACCCUGUAUUUAUGAAUGGUCAUUAAAUGGAUGGCAUUUUGGCCACUGCAAUAAUUCAUAUAGAUUUCCUGUUAAUGAUAAAUUAGUUGCCAUGCUCUA